CCUACGUGUCGAGAUGGCUAGUGAGCUGUAGGCGAGCCUUCGGGUAAGCCAUGAGAUUAAUGGACAAGUAAAUGAGGUUACUGAACGAGUGAAUAGCUUUGCCUUUGGACAUGAUAAUGGGUUAGUUGUUUAUCCAUUUCCUUGUACAUGCAUUCAUAUAUUAUGAUUGGGCAUAGUAGCGUAGUUUCAUUUCCAUCAUUUACAGCUUUCCUUUUUAUCUAUCUAUCUAUUGAUAUAUCUACUGGUGCCCGCUUGGACCUAGUGGGGAGAUCGGCGGAGUCGGCGGCCGAACCCACUGGAAACUAAGGAAGUUAGUUCUCACCCCCAUUUUCACCACAGGUUCCAGUUCGGGUAUCCCCGGUGAGCGCGAGGAUCGCGGUAAGGGCCCGGCGUUCUAGUCGCAUUAGCUACCUCCCGUUGGUAUUAGCCAUCACCCUUUUUGUAUUUGAGAGUAGAUGUUGUGUAGGGUGAGGUGGAGUGAUUGUAUUUAUAUUUUGGAAGAAUGUAAAGGAUGUAAUUAAACAUGUAUAUAUUAUGUCGAGUGAAUGGAAUAGAUAGA
rnacentral:lncRNA from 1 species